rnacentral:rRNA from 1 species
CGGGUGAGUAAUGUAUGGGGAUCUGCCUGAUGGCGGGGGAUAACUACUGGAAACGGUAGCUAAUACCGCAUAAUGUCUACGGACCAAAGCGGGGGACCUCCGGGCCUCGCGCCAUCAGAUGAACCCAUAUGGGAUUAGCUAGUAGGUGAGGUAACGGCUUACCUAGGCGGCGAUCCCUAGCUGGUCUGAGAGGAUGAUCAGCCACACUGGGACUGAGACACGGCCCAG